GGCAGCAACUGGAAGAUGUCGUAGAUCUGCAUUUUUCAAACAUAUAAGAACAUCAGCUGUUAUUUAAAACAAGAUCAAUUCAUCUGGUGAGUGCAAGUAGGUCAAAUGAAGGUAAAGGGGUUUUAAAAUAUGGAAAAGUAGUGAGACAUAACAUGCAUGAAACAUGUACAUGAGAGGGCAACAAAAA